AAUCUUUUUAUCAAUCCACGACCUUUUCUCUUAUUGGUUAGUUUUUCUUUGCCAAGGAUUACACUUUUUAGCCAUUGAUUUGUUUUGAUCUAAAGGUCUAAAAUCAUUCUCUCUCCUUUCUCACUCCUGAUAGAUCUGAAUCUCAUAAUUUUUUUGGUUUCUACGGUUUCACAGUUUUUCUCAUUCUUCUUCCUUUACAAUUUUUACGCCUCUGCCUCUGUUCAAUAUAUUUUUCUCUGUUCAUUCACAGAAACAAAACGAUUUGAUUUUGAUUGGAGGUUUGGUCCAGGAGUUGAGAGAUGAAGAGUCUUGUAGAGGAGACAGACACCUCUGUAUAAUAGUCACAGAAACAAAACGUCUCUGCACCUGUCUUAUAUUCAGAGAUGAGGUGUGAUAAACAGAGACAGAGAAGACAGAGCGCUAGCGGCAAGGUGGAGCACCGGAGGAGAUAGAGGAAAAGGUUGAUGGUGGUGGCCUGAGCUUCUCUCCGCUGAGAAAGAGAAGACAGGGUAAGAGGAAGACAGUAUUAGUCAUGGGCUUGUGGCGAGGAGGCGCAGGAGCAUCCCAGUCCUCUGCAAAAUCGAGUUCUCUCAAUCCCAAUCUUCGCUGGGUUAGCUUAAUCCAUGGCUAGUUCAUCGUUGAUUGAGGUGGUCUCAUCUGUAAGAAUGUUGGUUGAAGACGGCGGCGGCAAGAAGAAGCUACGUGUUUUGUUAUUAGGUUUAGUUAGUAAAUAGGUUUAGGUUUAAGUUUGGUUUAGUUUUGGUUUAAUAUUUUUUGUAUACCAACAAAUCAUUUUUUUAAUAAAAAAAUUAAAUAUAUAAAUGAUUUUAAAUUUUAA